rnacentral:misc_RNA from 1 species
CCCUAGCCCUGAUUGAGCGGCAUGUUUGAGCUCUUUUCCUGUUUUGGCUCGGCGGCUUCGCCGCCGAGCCAAAACAGGAAAAAGCGAGUAGUGAAAGCAGGAAAAAGC